rnacentral:misc_RNA from 1 species
GUGAAUCAUCAAAUUUUUGAACGCAAAUUGCACUCUCUUCGGAGAGGAUGCCUGUUUGAGGGUCAGUAUUAAUAAAAAUCGGUGUGUUGCUUCUUUGUGACGCUCCGGAGUCUGGGUCAUCUUAAUAUUCUUUUGGUUUUAAGAGGCUUAAAAUUGACUUUUUUUGAGCAUUUUAGAUUUACAUGACUUAUUUAUGUUUUUCUUUUGUUUUAU